AUUGAACGCUGGCGGCAGGCCUAACUCAUGCACGUCGAACGAGUGGCGGACGGGUGAGUAAUGUCUGGGAAACUGCCCGAUGGCGGGGGAUAACUACUGGAAACGGUAGCUAAUACCGCAUACCAUCGGAUGUGCCCAGAUGGGAUUAGCGAGUGGGUGGGGUAACGUCUACCCUAGGCGACGAUCCCUAGCUGGGCUGAGAGGAUGACCAGCCACACUGUAACUGAGACACGGGCCAGACUCCUACGGGAGGCAGCAGUGGGGAAUAUUGCACAAUGGGCGCAAGCCUGAUGCAGCCAUGCCGCGUGUAUGAAGAAGGCCUUCGGGUUGUAAAGUACUUUCAGCGAGGAGGCGUUACUCGCAGAAGAAGCACCGGCUAACUCCGUGCCAGCAGCCGCGGUAAUAC
rnacentral:rRNA from 1 species